rnacentral:rRNA from 1 species
AACGAACGCUGGCGGCAGGCUUAACACAUGCAAGUCGAACGCGCCCUUCGGGGCGAGUGGCAGACGGGUGAGUAACGCGUGGGAACCUACCUUUUGGUACGGAAUAACUCAGGGAAACUUGAGCUAAUACCGUAUGUGCCCAUAUCCUUGAUCGGGUUUGGGGAAAGAUUCAUCGCCAAAGGAUGGGCCCGCGUCGGAUUAGCUAGUUGGUGGGGUAACGGCCUACCAAGGCGACGAUCCGUAGCUGGUCUGAGAGGAUAAUCAGCCACACUGGGACUGAGACACGGCCCAGACUCCUACGGGAGGCAGCAGUGGGGAAUAUUGGACAAUGGGGGCAACCCAGAUCCAGCCAUGCCGCGUGAGUGAUGAAGGCCUUAGGGUUGUAAAGCUCUUUCGCCGGUGAAGAUAAUGACGGUAACCGGAGAAGAAGCCCCGGCUAACUUCGUGCCAGCCGCCGCAGUAAAAC